GGACAAGUUUUCACAAUGUACAAAUACCGAGGUGUGCGAUAUGCUAAGGUUGUAUUGGACUGAAAAUUUUCUCUCCAACUUAAGUGAAGGAGGAGGUAAUUUCAGGGGCCUCUCCCAGUCAUUGCAGGAGUCCUUUGUAGCCACUAUCUGAUCAGAUCAGCUUGUUGCAAUAUCAUCUUAGUUUCGUACCGAAUUAGAUUUAGCUUUACAGUAGGUUUACUGCUUUACAGCUUCACAGGACAGUUUAUUGCUUCUGUUAACCUUUGAAUGAAGUUCUCAAAUAAUGCUUAACAUAACACCUGUACUAGAUUUUUAUGAAACAAGCUGUCAUACACUUGUCUAGAGCUACCUGUAAGUCCAUCCUCAUUUAAUAAACUGAUAAAUUCUUACCUUAAUUUAGUUGAGCUGUAAAUAUAUUAGAUAUCUCCAUGGCUCAGGAGGGACGGGGAAAGCAAUAAACCUAUCUGCAAAACUUCGGUAAUGUUUUGAGGCUUGAUUGAGGGAAUAGUUAGCUCCUUUCCCUUAUGUUUUGGCACGCAUUAUUUUAAUGUAAAAGUAAACAAUGCUUAUGGAACUCAAUUCACUCCAGACCCAGUGGGAAAUGAAAAUUACCUUAUGCUUCUGCCGCUUAAAGUUAAAGCUUUGAAGUUGCAUGUGUAAAGCAGGUCAGUCUUUUUUUUUAUCAAUUCAGUCCGAGCUUUAGCUUUAGGGACAGACUCCCCAGAUGCCCGGCCGUAGCCUCCGUACGGUGCCCGGGGCGGGGAAAGGCAGUUCGGUCCCCCCGCGUAGGUCUGGGAGAGCUCUGGCGGAGAUGCUGCGCCGCUCCCUGAGCGCGGGUUUGGGCUCGGGACGCGCUGCGGGCGGGCGGGCAGCUCCGAGGGACCGAGGGGCCCCGGAGCCCCGCGGCGGUGCGCAGGAUGCUGGCUGCCUCCCUCGCACGGAGCCUGGGAGGCUGGAGGCGGGGGAGACGGGGCGCGGGGGGGCCGCCCAGCGGUUCCCGGCGGGAGCGGCGCUGGCACAGGCGGGAGCGGGGGCGGCGCUCCCGGGGCGGGGCCCGGCCCAUCCCCGCGGGGCGGGGGGCACGGGCCCCGCGCUGUCCCCGCCGCCAGCUGGCUGCGGCCGCCCCGCCGCCCCCUCCCCGGACACGCAUUAUUUACAGCGGCCGCCGUGGACCUGUCUGUUCCACCUCGGGCUAUAAGAAGGCGGAUGAUGAGAUGUCCGGAGCCACGUCCGCGGCGGAUCUGGACGAGGCACCAGCCCGCACCAUUUACUUGAACCAGCCCCAGCAGAGCAAGUUCCGCGACAACUGGGUCAGCACAGCCAAGUACAGUGUGGUGACAUUUCUACCUCGAUUCCUGUAUGAGCAGAUAAGAAAAGCUGCAAAUGCAUUCUUCCUCUUCAUUGCCUUACUGCAGCAAAUUCCAGAUGUCUCUCCAACAGGAAGAUAUACCACCUUGGUGCCAUUGCUAUUUAUUUUAACAGUUGCUGGCAUCAAAGAAAUCAUAGAAGACUAUAAAAGGCAUAAGGCAGACAGUGCAGUGAAUAAAAAGAAAACAGUAGUUCUAAGAAAUGGGAUGUGGCAGAACAUUAUGUGGAAAGAGGUAGCAGUAGGCGAUAUUGUGAAGGUCACCAAUGGGCAACAUCUUCCAGCAGACAUGAUCAUAAUAUCUACCAGUGAACCACAAGCCAUGUGCUAUAUUGAAACAGCUAAUCUCGAUGGGGAGACGAAUCUUAAAAUACGACAGGGUUUGUCUCAAACUGCUAGUCUCCAGUCCAGGGAAGAAUUGAUGAAAGUGUCUGGGAGGAUAGAAUGUGAAGGACCCAACCGCCAUCUCUAUGACUUCACUGGAAACUUGCGUUUAGAUGGUCAAAGCCCAGUUCCUGUUGGUCCAGACCAGAUCUUGCUGAGAGGUGCACAACUGAGAAACACUCAGUGGGUCUUGGGUAUUGUUGUGUAUACAGGACAUGAUACAAAACUCAUGCAGAAUUCAACCAAAGCACCUCUGAAGAGAUCAAACGUGGAGAAAGUGACCAACAUGCAGAUCCUGGUGUUGUUCUGUAUUCUCCUGGUAAUGGCCCUUGUGAGUUCUGUAGGUGCCUUAUUAUGGAACAGAACACACGGCGGAGUUGUCUGGUACCUUGGCUCCAACAAAAUGCUGUCUGUCAACUUUGGAUACAAUCUGCUGACGUUUAUAAUCUUGUACAACAACCUUAUUCCAAUCAGCCUUCUGGUGACAUUGGAAGUUGUCAAGUUUACUCAGGCUCUUUUUAUAAAUUGGGACAUAGAUAUGUAUUACCCUGAAACAGAUACACCUGCAAUGGCCAGAACCUCAAACCUUAAUGAGGAACUUGGGCAGGUAAAAUACCUGUUUUCUGAUAAAACAGGUACUCUAACAUGCAAUAUCAUGAACUUUAAGAAAUGCAGUAUUGCUGGAGUGACAUAUGGUCACUUUCCUGAAUUGGAAAGAGAACGUUCAUCAGAAGACUUCAGCCAGCUACCUCCUUCCACCAGUGAAUCGUGUGAAUUUGAUGACCCAAGACUGCUGCAAAACAUUGAAAAUGAUCAUCCCACAGCUGUGCAUAUACAGGAGUUCCUCACGCUGCUGGCCGUGUGUCAUACUGUUGUUCCUGAGAGACAAGGAAAUACAAUAAUCUACCAGGCCUCCUCUCCAGAUGAAGGAGCGUUAGUGAAAGGAGCAAAAAAACUUGGUUAUGUCUUCACAGGACGGACUCCCCACUCUGUUAUCAUUGAUGCGCUGGGGAAAGAGAAAACCUUUGAAAUUCUUAAUGUGCUGGAGUUUUCCAGCAACAGGAAGAGAAUGUCAGUGAUUGUUCGAACUCCGGCAGGACAGCUACGUCUCUACUGCAAAGGGGCUGAUAAUGUAAUUUUUGAGAGGCUUUCAAAAGAUUCCCAGUAUAUGGAACAAACACUGUGCCAUCUUGAAUACUUCGCAACAGAAGGUCUGAGGACGUUGUGCAUUGCUUAUGCUGAUCUGUCAGAGAAGUCUUACAGAGAGUGGUUGAAUGUCUACAAUGAAUCCAGUACGGUUCUGAAAGACAGAACUCAGAAGCUAGAGGAGUGCUAUGAGAUCAUUGAAAAGGAUCUGCUGCUUCUUGGAGCUACAGCCAUUGAAGACCGCCUGCAAGCAGGUGUUCCAGAAACAAUAGCCACACUAAUAAAAGCAGAAAUUAAGAUAUGGAUUCUGACAGGUGACAAACAGGAAACAGCUCUCAAUAUAGGGUAUUCUUGCAGACUCAUUUCACAGAGUAUGUCUCUCAUCCUGGUCAAUGAAGAUUCACUAGAUGCAACAAGAGCUUCUCUGACUCAACAUUGUACCAGUCUGGGGGAGUCACUGGGCAAGGAAAAUGAUAUUGCCCUGAUUAUUGAUGGCCACACACUGAAGUAUGCCCUUUCAUUUGAAGUCAGGCAGAGCUUUCUGGACUUGGCACUCUCCUGUAAAGCGGUCAUUUGUUGCAGAGUAUCUCCUCUACAGAAGUCCGAAAUAGUAGACAUGGUCAAGAAACACGUCAAUGCCAUAACACUUGCCAUUGGGGAUGGUGCCAAUGACGUAGGAAUGAUCCAGACAGCUCACGUUGGAGUGGGGAUCAGUGGCAAUGAGGGCAUGCAGGCAACCAAUUGCUCGGAUUAUGCCAUUGCACAGUUUUCCUACUUGGAGAAGCUAUUGUUGGUCCAUGGUGCUUGGAGUUACAAUCGAGUUACCAAAUGCAUACUGUACUGCUUCUACAAAAAUGUGGUUUUGUAUAUUAUUGAGCUUUGGUUUGCUUUUGUUAAUGGAUUUUCUGGGCAGAUCUUAUUUGAGCGAUGGUGCAUCGGUCUGUAUAACGUGAUUUUCACAGCACUGCCACCCUUUACUCUGGGAAUUUUUGAACGGUCGUGUACUCAAGAUAGCAUGCUUAGAUUUCCACAGCUAUACAAAAUCACUCAAAAUGCAGAUGGUUUCAACACAAGGGUUUUCUGGGGUCACUGCAUCAAUGCCCUCAUCCAUUCCAUCAUUCUUUUCUGGUUUCCACUGAAAGUGCUGGAGCAUGAUGCAGUAUUCACAAAUGGACAGGGAGUUGACUAUUUAUUUGUUGGAAACAUAGUUUACACUUAUGUUGUAGUCACUGUUUGUCUGAAAGCCGGCUUGGAAACAACUGCAUGGACUAGAUUCAGUCACCUGGCCGUCUGGGGAAGCAUGCUGCUCUGGCUCGUGUUCUUCGGCGUGUACUCGGCCAUCUGGCCCACGUUCCCCAUAGCGCCGGACAUGCUGGGGCAGGCUGGAAUGGUGUUAAGAUGUGGAUACUUCUGGUUUGGCUUGUUUCUUGUGCCCACUGCGUGCCUUGUUAAAGACGUGGCAUGGACAGCGGCGAAGCAUACCUACCAUAAAACUUUGCUGGAGCAAGUUAAGGAGUUGGAAACGAAGACAAGAGAACUGGGAAAAGCCAUGCUUCGUGAUAGUAAUGGAAAGAGCUUCACUUCAUUCUCGAAACGCUUGCAUGGAGAUGAUCGUGAACGAACGUGACCAUUUGUUAAAAAGGCUCGGCAGGAAAACUCCUCCGAGCCUUUUCCGUGCUCAUUCUGUCCAGCAAAGCGUGUCACAUGGGUAUGCAUUUUCUCAAGAAGAACACGGUGUUGUUUCCCAGUCGCAAGUCGUUCGAUCCUACGAUACAACCAAAAGGAGAACAGAAAUAGAAUAAAUUAUUCUUUACUUGAUGGGUGGUGGGAAUAAUGGGAUUUGGAUCAAUUCAUCCACUGUUAACACAUUCAUGACUAGAUUUGGCGGCAGCAGCCAAAACACCAGAGAACUCAUUUCUGUGGCCUUAGCCAACAAGUUCCUGUAUUCUCCCUGCAAACCUUGAGUGCAUAUUGUGGGGGGGAAAUCAUUGUUUGACUUCAGUUGCGAAGCUCUGCCUAAAGUUUUGUUUAUGUUGUUAUGAAGCAUUUGAAUGUGCUAUGUGAGGUGUGAAAUUAAAAACAAUGUUUUGCCACUAUUUAAAACAUCAGCAUAAGGUUGUUCUGGGGGAAAAGUAGAAAAUUUAUGUUCCAUGAGAAAUCAGCCUUUGCUUAAUUGGAACGGGGGGCUGAGGGUUCCUGUUUUGUUACACACAGACCUAGUGCACACAACUGCAUGCAGACUUUACUCCUUCUUGUAUUCACUGUUAAUUAAUUUGGCUGAAAUUUUCAACAGACCAUUUGGUGUAAAAUUUUUGAUUCCACACAGUUUGUAGCUAAAAAUGCUUAUUUGCCUUCUUAUGACAGAAUUAACACAAGAUAGCAAUCAAUUAUUUAGACUAUUUCUUGCCCUCUUACAGGAUUUAUUAGGGUUCUAUCUUAGCUUUCUGAAACCCAAAUAAUAGCUUACUCACACAGCCAGGAUGUGAAAGUCAGAGCUUGGCAGAGUAGCUGUCUUGAGUGCAUGACAUUGUACACCAAGAUGAACUCAACCAGGUGCCUCCUCAUAACGCUUUAUGAUGUAUUUGGAUGUGCACUUCAAGUGUAGCCUGGGACUUCCCUCCAUGACCCCACUCCCAGUUUUAUAGUAGAACAAAACAGUGAGAAUUUCAAUUUAAAUGUACCAUCUUGUCAGAUAUGUUGAUAAGAUGUACAUCUGCAUAGGAGGCUGAUAGUGUAACCCUAAAGAAGCCUUCCCCAUGCCAGGUAAGAGGUUUGCAGAGGAGGGCAGGAAGGGAUUACACAUGUGCAUGCACACACAUGGAUACACACAGAGCUGGCCAUUGUGAAGAGAAGACCUGCUGUUUGUUUGUUCAGCCAAACCAGUCCCUCUUCUAGAUCUGAUCCAUCAACAGGCUUCCCAAAACACUCAGCCCCGUGAGCCCUGGAAGGAAUGCUGGCUCCAUGGCCUUGCUGUGCCACUGGGACAGGCGUGCUGCUGCAUAGAUUGGGAUUUUGAAGAAAAAAAAAAAAAAAGGCAAAAACUGGGGCAUAAGUUAAAGCUGAAAGAGCUCUUAGAAAGCUUAUGCUGUCCUCCAGACAAAUUCUAUUAAUUUUUGUCGCCAAGCCAUGUUUCUGAACAGUAUAAAGUAAAUACUGCUGUGUUUAAGCCAGGCUUCAUGGUUAAUCUAUAUACUACAUCUGUGUAUUUAAAAAGUUGGCGUUGUUUUUUGCCCUAUUGACCAUCAUCCAGAAUUUUUUAUUGAUUUAAAUAUAUCCAAAAGCAAUCUGAAUAUGAAUGUUUAUGUUUAGCAAAGGAGAGGAAAGCUCCAGCCUGGCCUACUGGUUUAAUCUUCCUUAAGGGUUGCAAGUAAAUGCCAGCGCUCAAGUGCUAUAAUUCAAUUUCCAGUGCCACCUCAGAAGUUCAGAGUCCCCUUCUGUUUUAGAAAAGGCAAAUUUUGCUCCUGCAGCAGCAGUCAGGAUUGCACUUGGAUUAGGCUGAUGGCACAGAGGGAAAAGUCAUCACCUUCUUUUUGCCGUGCUAAUGAGACAAUUAUGCAAUAAGGAAAACGUGCAAAUAAUUUUGCCAUAGGCAUGAAUGUCAAAGGGCCAUGUGUGGAUGUAUGUAUUUUCUGGGAGAGGAAUUUUGUACAAAUACUAGUGCUGAGAAUAAAUAAGGAGAGAGUAAACCUGAUCCCAGGAGUUUUAAAAUCUUAAUGCUGAUAUAACCUGUUAAACACUUCCUUUUAUUUAGAAACCAAAUCUGUUUAGGAAAUGUGUGGUGUAAGCCUCUCCUCAGAACCACUAAUUGUUUCUUCCUUUUGUAAAAACACAAGGAAAAUUAACUUCCCACCAAGGCAAAAUGAGAUCAGCUUAGUCUUUGUACUCUAAGCUACACACCAAACAUUGGCAUGUAAACAAUUUGGAGGCUUUUCAUGAGGCUGCAGAAAAAAAACUUUUAAAAGCCUUUGGAUAAUGAAGAAUGGCAAGUCAAGUAAAUGUGUUAAGCAGAGAAUAGAAGGGAUCCUGGAGUUUUUUCUGUUCUUAACUUAGGGCAACAAAAUUUUGCAGAACGUAAUGAAAGAUGCUGGGGAGGAGCAGCUGUCAUCUGAUGUGAUUAAUUUUAUUAGUGCAGACUAUGGGCUCUAUCAUUUUGACCUCCCUGUAAAUUGAGGUCAGUGUGUGUCACAAACAAAAACCCUCCCUAGAGUCAAUGGUGGUUUAGACUGAGGUACGUGUGUUGGUUGUCAGCUCAAUGGGAAUUGCACAUGGGAUUUGUCACAGGGCUAUACAGUAUGUGACACUGGGGCUAGUGGGUCAGACUUUAUCAUCACUGUAUGGCCUUAAUCUCUAGCUGAGUUAAUUCUGUAGAACCCACCCAGGUCAAGACCUGGCAUUCUUCUUGUUCUUUGGAGUCAUUACAGGAAUUAAUGUAUUGUAAUGUGCCGCAGACUGGGUGUUGGAGUUGCUUGUCUUGAUGAGCAAUGAUGAGGUGCAAUCGGGUGCUGUGUUAGCAGAAGGAGAAUGACAGCUGCUCUGCAUCAACAGAAUUCCUUGUUCAUUAGGGCAAAUGCACGGAGCAGUAACAGCAGCCUUUGAAAGUGCUGUGUGAAAAUGUUAUCAACUAGACAGGGUAUCGGAGCAGAAGGAAUGGGGGAUUUCUGCGUGACUGUCCAGACUUAACUACUGAGCCUGGAUCAGAAAAGGCCUCCCUGAGCAACUCUCUGCACUGACCAAAGGGAGAUGGGUUUGGAUAUUCAGAUGGAAGCGGUGAUUUUCCUGAAUUACAUUUGGCUCUGGUUGCUGCUUUUUAUAACACCAUAAUCGCAGCUUGCAUAGAAGCUGCUGCUCCUUUAAUGAUUGCCUAGUAGCAAUUUAAAGCUGGCGAGUGGGAGCCUGAGCUGCUCUGAGCACUGCUGAGGAGUCUGUUGACAUUUUCUUUUCCUUGACAGGGCUUCAGGUCUUGCUGUAGGGAGCUAGAAUGGGAAGUCAGUAAUAACUUGUCAAGGAGAAAGAGCAAAUAACCAAUAAAAGUAUCUGGGUCAAACUAAGCUGCUAAUAUACAUAAAAAUGUGUGUAGAGUUAACAGGAACUAUAUGGGCUGUAAAUUAAGAUAACGGUCAAGCCUCACUAAUCUGCCGUUUACUAGACUACACACCCCUUAGUGCAUGGCCAAAACUGUGCAGUCUCUUCCCCUACCUCAGCCAGCAGCUCAUAGCAGAUGCUGCAGGGAAGUCUCUGUUACCAAGAUUAUAUUAUUUUUUUAUGGCAUGUACUGGAGUGUGUUCACUGGGAGACAGUCAUGAUAAUAAAGUUGUAAAUAAAGCAGAUAAAGCUUUAUUUCUGUGAAUAUGUGAAAUGUGGGGACGUGGCCACACAGGGUGCAACUUGGCCUUCUGUGGACAACCCAAGAGCCCGAGAGGUGCACAGUCCUUACACUGUCCCUGUCCUGCAGGCUUAGUUUGCCCUUUUGGGCUAACUCACUAAAUCUUCUCUUUUCACAUUGCCUCCAGUCAUCAGUGAAGACUAGUGAUACUCUAUUUACAUUCUCCCUUGGUUUUAUAACUAAUGACUUAAUUUAAUCUUUAAAUGCUCAGAGGAGUGUACAGCUCAGGUUUGAAGCAGAGUAGGCAUUGAGUGGGUGCUUGGCCCUGAGAAGCACCUUGGGUUUAUCUGAUUUCUCAUUAGUGUAAAGAACUGAGGGUAUUUUACCUUUAUUUUGAAUCAUCACACAGUAUCAAUGCCUUAAACUUCAAUCAGGUUGCACGGGAGCUCUUUGUGUCCUGUUGAGUCUAACAAGAAGUGGUGAUGGUAUGAAAGCCCUGAGGGGUUGGAGAGGAGAAUUUGGCUGUGUCUAUGCUAUACCUGGAAUAUCUGGGUAGCAGACUGCUUCUAAAAUGUGACACUGACAAUGCAUGUUCCUGAGCCUCCAGACAGUUGGACCCCUUCUGUCCUGUUAGGAAGGAUUCUUGCACUCACCUCUUCCCAGUAUCCUAUAGACACCCAAGAGAGGCUUCACUACCUUUCAGCAUCUGUGACCAGAGCUGUGUGUCCGGAGAAGGCCACAGGAUAGGUCAGUACAAUAGAUGACAACAAAACAAAUCCAUAUGGGUACUUUUUCCAUAUGUAGCAGUAAGAUUAAUGGAGGCUUUGAGCUUUGUUGGCAAAUGAAAACCAGAAAGUGCCCUGCACUGCUUGGUCACACAAGUGAAUCCCAAAGGUGAUCGCUUCUCAAUGACCUGCAGGAAACCUAGACAGCCUGAGUUUAUCUGGCCAGGAAUGUGCUUUUGGAUGGGCUGUCUGGAGAGGUGAAGGGACUGGGAAACAAAAUAGAUCGGCCGAGACAGUGCUGCUGUUAGAGGUUAGUGAGGGGAGGGAUUCCUCAGGCAUCCAUGAAGAGCUGUGGUAAAGCUGAUUUCUUUUGGGUUCCUUCCUGUGGCUCUGGGAAGGGAGCAGAGCUGAGUUGAGAAUUUGUGAAGCACUGUUACCUCCUGAAGCUGAGUUUUUCUGGUACCAAGCUGAGUCCUGGACUUAGAAUGAAUCCCUGACAGAAGUGUUCCCUGCUUAGCAUGCUUUGGCUCUAGCGGGUUGUUUCCUGGGUUAUGAAGAUUGCUGAAUUGUUUACUGGUUCCUGUUUGCCUCAUGGAUUCACCAGAACUGAGCACUGGAUUUAUUUCAGUCCUGGCUGACACUCCAUCAUGGAGAGUUAGUGGGGCUUCUGCUUAGGUGUUGCUCCUGGGCAGGUUCUUCUCCCUCAGGCCAGUGCCAGGGGCUCUUUAAUCUGGGCACCUGGAUCUCUUUGUGAUAGUGUGUGAAGCCAUGGGGUUGUUUCAUUUGGGUUCAUGGCCUGCUCAUGUGUGGUGUGGACAGAAGGUAAAGUGGCUGAGUACUGGUGUUUAUCCAAAGCCUUCCUUUAUGUAUGAAGAAGGUGAGAUAAUUUCUCCUGAAGUCUGCCAAAGAGGUCCAUUCUCCUUCAACCUCUUUGUAGCUAAUAAAGAGAAACAGAAGUUGGUAAAUGACAAACUCUGUUUGGGCAAUCCCAGCUCUGGGCAAUCACUCAGAAGUCUAACAAUGAAGAAAAGUGUUAAUAUAUUGCCAAACUGUCACUGUGCAUAGCUGGAAGGUCAGCACCCUUGUAAUUAUGGAGCAACGAAGCCAAGGGAAAAAGCCAACAUUAACAGAAAGACAUGAUUGUUUUAAAUUCUAACUACCUUACUGGGUGGUUUUCCUGUGAAGAUGUUCCAGAUGUCGUUUUGGCAUAAAUUAAUCAAUUUCAAAACAUCUGCUGGGUUUCUUAGAAAACAUGGAGUUUACCAGACAGUGCUUAUGCUCUCCUCUGCCCUUCUGGUUGAUAAAUUGAUUCAGAAGGGGAAUGAGGGUACUCGCUGUUCUUACCAUCAAGAGUUUGUAGACUGGAAAGUUGCUCAAAGUUGUUGCUCAACUAUUUUUUUUUUAAAGGGCUCCAGUUAUAAGGUAGUGAGGCAGCCAAGCCCUCUGGGACUGUGUACAUGUGUGUGCUGGAAGAGUUGCCUGACUUGAAAACCUCCCCCUGUCCCUCCUCCUGCCCCCAAAGUGCAGCCCAUUGCACUGGGAGAUCAAAUAUUCAGCGUCUUGAGUGACAGGAUCUUUAACAGCAUCUUUUUCAUCAGCGAGCCAAGCCAUGUGCCCGCUUGUCUGUCAUAUCUGUACUCGAAUUGCUUAAAUAUUGUUUCAGAUGGGGACAUUUUAAUCUGGAUAUGCAGAGAGGAAUGAUGCUGUGGGGGGAUGUUUAAUUGGCUCCCAGCAGAGCAGCAGUGGUGUGUGGGUUUUUUCCUCUAGAAGUGUUACCAUUUUCAGGUCCUAUUAAUGUCCUCUGGUAGUUUAAAUACAGCAUUGCAUUACAGUGGAGUUUGUUUCCCUCUCAGACUGAAUACAAAUGAAGGUCAUUUACUUGUAUUUUUAGAAGGUUCAGAAAACUUAGACAAUUUGUAGCUUUGAACAGCAUUGUUGACUGUUGUAUGUCUGCACAAAAAUAUUUCCAAUAAACCUUUUAUUAAAGCAA